UCAAAAGCGGAGGAAAAGAAACCAACAGGGAUUGCCUUAGUAACGGCGAGUGAAGCGGCAAAAGCUCAAAUUUGAAAUCUGGCACCUUCGGUGUCCGAGUUGUAAUUUGAAGAAGGUAACUUUGGAGUUGGCUCUUGUCUAUGUUCCUUGGAACAGGACGUCACAGAGGGUGAGAAUCCCGUGCGAUGAGAUGCCCAAUUCUAUGUAAAGUGCUUUCGAAGAGUCGAGUUGUUUGGGAAUGCAGCUCUAAGUGGGUGGUAAAUUCCAUCUAAAGCUAAAUAUUGGCGAGAGACCGAUAGCGAACAAGUACAGUGAUGGAAAGAUGAAAAGAACUUUGAAAAGAGAGUGAAAAAGUACGUGAAAUUGUUGAAAGGGAAGGGCUUGAGAUCAGACUUGGUAUUUUGCGAUCCUUUCCUUCUUGGUUGGGUUCCUCGCAGCUUACUGGGCCAGCAUCGGUUUGGAUGGUAGGAUAAUGACUAAGGAAUGUGGCUCUACUUCGGUGGAGUGUUAUAGCCUUGGUUGAUACUGCCUGUCUAGACCGAGGACUGCGUCUUUUGACUAGGAUGUU
rnacentral:rRNA from 1 species